UUUUUUUUUCUACACUUUGUGUUUAACCACAAAAACAAACAAAAAAAGGCCACAGUUAAUGGUCAUGGAGUGCUUGAAGGGCAUAUGUCUUCCCUCAUUACAAAGCAAGGAUAUGUCAGACAUGUUUAGCUACAAAACAUACAUGCAGGAAUCACUACGUACCUAGCAGCUGUGAGGAUUAAGCGAUCUGAUCAAUCUUUUCUGUAUCUCUUUUUAAUAAUAAUUAUUUGUACUUUAAAAAAGGAAUAACAUUUUGUCAUCCACAUCUAGGAAUAGGUGUUGUUUUUUUUUUCCCAACAGAACUCAGAAUUCUUAUGGCAAAAAAAGGCCAGAGAGCAGACGAGGUGAAAUGACAGAUUCGGGUAAAACAUGAGCAGCCACCUCACAACAAGCAAGUUCAUUGCGUGACAAUCUUUCUGCACUUCCCCAGGGACUGAGCAGAACGGUUCAAGAAGGAGCAGAUGGAAACAGCUGCCAACAGAUGAGUACUGGAACAGAUUCAAACCACACUACUUGCUGGAACUUGAGAGUUUGUGAUGGCCUGAGCUUACCCAAUGACAGGAGGUGAUUGAAAAGGAAAAUGGGAAGUCAGAGGCAGAUUGUACUUAUGCUGAGAAGCGUGGACAGACUCACCCUAUACACAACAGACAGAAGAUAGAUACUGGGAAAACAGAUCAUUGUGAGGUUAUCUGUCUUUUCAGGCAGAGGACCCGGAAAGUGAAUUUUGGAAAAGGGAGAGAGAAAGACCUGAAUUCUGAGAAUCUGUGGAUACAUUUGGCUAGAAGAUGAGUAUGAGAAGCCUGAGAAAUGGACAUGGUAGUAUUUCACAGAAAAAUAAGAGAUUAACAACUGCUAUGAUGGACCAAAAAAGAGCAUUCUGUAUUAACUAUUUACAGAAAACUAAUUUGGUAGAGGAGAAUCAGCCCCUUGGUCUUAAAUAAAUGAGAGCUUGAUGCAAGAAGAACUUUGAAAUAUUUGGUAGAGCCACAUGUGACUGAUCAAAAUAUUCACCCUAAGCACACAAAACAAGAGCGUUAAGAUUUGCUGGAGAUGGGACUCACUUGCAGAAGAACGUGGCUUUAUUAGAACUUUGGAGACCUUAAUCCAAAGGUUACAAAUUUCCACAGUAAAUGAAGAUAGUCAAGAUUCAGUGUUUUAUAAUCAGUUUCUCAGUGCCAGUGUGAGGCAUGACUUCAAGUGGAGCACAAGUCAACACGUCUGCUUAACUGUUAAGGCAAAACUCUCUCUGUGAAUUACCCAAAAACACACGAGCGCUCGUUUCGUCGCCCGCGUGUUCCAGACCUUCGUCGUUGUUUCUGUGGCCGUGUCGGCGCAGGGGCAGCAGCGGCUCUGGCAGGAGAGCCCCCAAAUGCCCUGGGUCUGGGAACAGACACCGCUCCGCCGUCCCGUCCGGACUCCGAGACCCUCCUCACCCCGCCGCCGGUGGCUGCCCGGCCAGGGCUAGAGGGGGUCCCACGCCGCGGCCCCGGCCGCCUCCCGUGCCCGUCCGCGCCCCGCCGCCCUUACCAGCGCCUGCAGGCAGUAGUGGAGCUCCAGCUGGGCGCCGGUGACGCCGCAGAGCGCCUCCUCCACGGCGGCGGGGAAGCCGUGGCGGACGCGGCUGGCGGGCAGCGGGCGGUGCGCGGGGCAGGCGGGCAGGGUGACGCGGGGCCGCUUGGAGCGCGGCUCAGCCAUGGCCGGCGCCGCCAUGGAGCCACCGCGCCGCCCCGCCGCGCCGCCUCAUAUAGCCCGGGCACCUGGGACACACCUCGCCGCACUCCCCGGCGCCCGCCCGCCCUCGCCGGGGAGGAGGAGAAGGAGGAUGCGGAUGUGGGGGGCCGGGCGGGUGCUGCCAUUUCCUGCGUGCCCGUGGGCAGGCGGAGCGGGGGCUCUGUCCCUCACGGCGAAUGCGGCGCGGAGCGGGAGCGGGCAGGUGCCGGCUGGGCCACUCGCUCCACUGCCCGUUUGUGAACAUCCUAAAUAGUUAAUGAUCGACAUAAAAUACUUACUUUAACUGCAAAGUAGAUGUAUUAACUUGUGCUCUAUUUGAAGUCAUGCUGCACACUUGCUCUGAGGAAGUGGUUAUAAAACACUGAAUUUCGACUAUCCUGUCAUCAGAAACAUCAGUGAGUGACUUCAGGAAGCAAGGAUUAUGCAGAUCCUGUGAUGAAUGUUCUUAAUAAAACAUUCCAGCCUGUACUUUCUCUUGAAUGGUUUAUGGUUGCACAUGUGUAUGUGUCACAGGUUUGCGGUGUUUCAAGAUACCAUAAAAAUAUAAGAGAAAAACAUAAA